rnacentral:rRNA from 1 species
GAUGAACGCUGGCGGCGUGCUUAACACAUGCAAGUCGAGCGAAGCACCUUGAAGUUUUCGGACUAAGAGGUGACUGAGCGGCGGACGGGUGAGUAACGCGUGGGUAACCUGCCUCAUACAGGGGGAUAACAGUUAGAAAUGGCUGCUAAUACCGCAUAAGCGCACAGCAUCGCAUGAUGCCGUGUGAAAAACUCCGGUGGUAUGAGAUGGACCCGCGUCUGAUUAGGUAGUUGGCGGGGUAACGG